AGGGCUGUAGCUCAGUGGCAGAGUACUUGCCUGCCAUGCAUGAGGCACUGGGUUCAAUCCUUAGCACCACAU
rfam:Ictidomys tridecemlineatus contig016215, whole genome shotgun sequence.